AGUCUGACUGUAGAGUCAAUGAGAAACACAAUAUAAAGAAACCGGGAGGGCGCAGUAAAACCAAGAUGAUCCUCUUAAUCCUGAUUCUGAUUUGUUCCUGUAAUAUAGCUUCAGGAGGCUCACUAGGUAAAGUCCACCAGACUCCAGCCGUGAUGUACGGACGCUCCAACGGGACGGCAGAGCUCAGCUGCUUGCACACGUUCGGCAGCUACAACCAGAUCCUCUGGUACAAGCGAGUGGAGAGUGGACAGCUGCAGCUGCUGGGAUAUAUGAUGAGAAACAGUCCAUCUCCAGAGCCCGGUGUCACAGUGAAGAUGGGGGGGAACGCAGAAACGAAUGAAAACUGCACGUUAACCAUUGAGGAGCUCGGGCGCGACAGCAGUGCAGUUUACUUCUGUGCUGCUACUCUACACUGUGCUAUGUAUCGCUGUUCCUCAGCACAAAAACCUCCCUUUCACUUACUUUACACGUUCUUAAUACAGCCUUGCACCUGCUCUUACUGUUUCUGA